UACGUAGGGGGCAAGCGUUGUCCGGAUUUAUUGGGCGUAAAGAGCGUGUAGGCGGCCAUGCAGGUCCGUUGUGAAAACUCGAGGCUCAACCUCGAGACGUCGAUGGAAACCGCAUGGCUAGAGUCCGGAAGAGGAGAGUGGAAUUCCAGGUGUAGCGGUGAAAUGCGUAGAUAUCUGGAGGAACACCGGUGGCGAAGGCGGCAUCCUGGACCGACACUGACGCUGAGGCGCGAAAGCUAGGGUAGCAAACGGG
rnacentral:rRNA from 1 species